rnacentral:tRNA from 1 species
GCCUGGCUGGCUCAGUCAAUAGGACAUGAGACUCUUGAUCUCAGGGUCAUGAGUUCAAACCCCAUGUUGGGCA